rnacentral:rRNA from 1 species
UACGGAGGGUGCAAGCGUUAUCCGGAUUCACUGGGUUUAAAGGGUGCGUAGGCGGGCAGGUAAGUCAGUGGUGAAAUCUCCGAGCUUAACUCGGAAACUGCCGUUGAUACUAUUUGUCUUGAAUAUUGUGGAGGUAAGCGGAAUAUGUCAUGUAGCGGUGAAAUGCUUAGAUAUGACAUAGAACACCGAUUGCGAAGGCAGCUCACUACACGAUCAUUGACACUGAGGCACGAAAGCGUGGGGAGCAAACAGG